rnacentral:rRNA from 1 species
CAUGCAAGUCGAACGGCAGCACAGAGGAACUUGUUCCUUGGGUGGCGAGUGGCGGACGGGUGAGUAAUGUAUCGGAACGUGCCCAGUAGUGGGGGAUAACUACGCGAAAGCGUGGCUAAUACCGCAUAUUCUCUACGGAGGAAAGGGGGGGAUCAUUUGACCUCUCGCUAUUGGAGCGGCCGAUAUUAGAUUAGCUAGUUGGUGGGGUAACGGCCUACCAAGGCAGUGAUCUAUAGCUGGUUUGAGAGGACGACCAGCCACACUGGGACUGAGACACGGCCCAGACUCCUACGGGAGGCAGCAGUGGGGAAUUUUCGACAAUGGGGGGAACCCUGAUCGAGCCAUCCCGCGUGUGGGACGAAGGCCUUCGGGUUGUAAACCACUUUUCUCAACGAAGAAAAGUCUUAGGCUAAUACCUUAAGAUGCUGACGGUAGUUGAGGAAUAAGCACCGGCUAA